rnacentral:rRNA from 1 species
AGCUCUAAUAGCGUAUAUUAAAGUUGUUGUGGUUAAAAAGCUCGUAGUUGGAUCUCAACAGCUCUGGGUCGGUUAGCUUUGUGUUAUACUGAUCUAUGAGUUGUGCUUUUGCUGGAGGUUUAGGGGUGCUCUUAAUCGAGUGUCUCUGGAUGCCAGCAGGUUUACUUUGAAAAAAUUAGAGUGUUCAAAGCAGGCUGUUAUGCCUGAAUAUUCGUGCAUGGAAUAAUAGAAUAGGAUGUCGAUCUUAUUUUGUUGGUUUUCGAGACUCGACAUAAUGAUUAAUAGGGACAGUCGGGGGCAUUUGUAUUCAAACGCUAGAGGUGAAAUUCUUGGACCGUUUGAAGACAAACUACUGCGAAAGCAUUUGCCAAGAAUGUUU